rnacentral:lncRNA from 1 species
AAAAAGCACAGUAGCAAGAUCAAACAGAUGGUGCUAUGCGGCUAGAAUUCUGCAAUGUAUCUUUCGUCGUAGAGAUGAAAACUUUGUCGAAAGGUUUAUGCAGCAAUAUAGGAACAAUUUUUUUUUUUUGGAUUUUCGAAUAAGGAUAACUAAAUUGCAGCAGCAGUAAGGUAGGAAACCAGAACCUAUUGCAAUUCACGGGGAGAUCAAAGGAUGAUCUGCGGUGGUGGAGAUGACGGUGGAAUUUGGCGACGAUCUUUUAAGCAAUUGUGGGAAUUGCUUUGAGCGGUUGUGGAGGGUUGAUGGAUGACAGUGGAAGGGCAGCGAGAUGCCAAGAACGCUGCUCUGAUACCAGGUGUUAGAACCCUUGCAGAUU